rnacentral:rRNA from 1 species
GGAUGCUCCAGUUGGWUGCAUGUYCUUCUGGGAAAGAUUYAUCGGUAUGGGAUGGGGUCGCGUCCUAUCAGCUUGACGGCGGGGUAACGGCCCACCRUGGCUUCGACGGGUAGCCGGCCUGAGAGGGCGACCGGCCACAUUGGGACUGAGAUACGGCCCAGACUCCUACGGGAGGCAGCAGUGGGGAAUAUUGCACAAUGGGCGCAAGCCUGAUGCAGCGACGCCGCGUGCGGGAUGACGGCCUUCGGGUUGUAAACCGCUUUUGACUGGGAGCAAGCCCUUCGGGGUGAGUGUACCUUUCGAAUAAGCACCGGCUAACUACGUGCCAGCAGCCGCGGUAAUACGUAGGGUGCAAGCGUUAUCCGGAAUUAUUGGGCGUAAAGGGCUCGUAGGCGGUUCGUCGCGUCCGGUGUGAAAGUCCAUCGCUUAACGGUGGAUCCGCGCCGGGUACGG